GGGAAUUUAGCUCAGUGGUAGAGCGCUUGUCUAGCAAGUGCAAGGCCCUGGGUUCAGUCCCCAGUUCCG
rnacentral:tRNA from 1 species